GACGAACGCUGGCGGCGCGCUUAACACAUGCAAGUCGAGCGAUGAAAUUUCGACAGAUCCCUUCGGGGUGAAGAUGAAAUGGAUUAGCGGCGGACGGGUGAGUAACACGUGAGUAACCUGCCUUUGACAUUGGGAUAGCCUCGGGAAACUGGGAUUAAUACCAAAUGACACUAACUGAUCACAUGAUCAAUUAGUCAAAGAAAUUCGGUCAAAGAUGGACUCGCGGCUGAUUAGCUAGUUGGUGAGGUAACGGCCCACCAAGGCGACGAUCAGUAGCCGGCCUGAGAGGGUGAUCGGCCACAUUGGAACUGAGACCCGGUCCAAACUCCUACGGGAGGCAGCAGUGGGGAAUAUUGCACAAUGGGGGAAACCCUGAUGCAGCGACGCCGCGUGAGCGAAGAAGGCCUUCGGGUCGUAAAGCUCUUUUAUGAGGGAAGAUAAUGACGGUACCUCAAGAAAAAGCCCCGGCUAACUACGUG
rnacentral:rRNA from 1 species